ACUGUGCCCACGCCCGGGGUCAGGGGCAGGCUGUGCUGAGGCUCCAAGGAUGGGUCCUUCCGGACAACUUCAGGGGAGCUCCAGGACGACAGGUUUGGCUGCUGUAAUUUACAAGUUUCCGAGUUGGUGUCCCUGGAGGCCACGGAAUGCACGCGGUGGUCCAGUUCCUCCUGAAGUUGUCUCACCUGGGCCAUGAGAUUGGCCUUGCCCAGGGGACAGUCUUCCAGUUCUUCCUUAGCCUGUGUGAGAGAACAUGGAAAUGAACAGAAAACAGUAAAGAAGGGGAAAAAUUGACUCAAGAGGUCACAAGCUGACUGCUGUCCCUGGUGGAGACAGAGAGAGAACUUCACAGAACAUCUGCACAUGGAAGCCUGCACCACAAGCAGGUGAGUGUGCUCUUGGGAUGUGAGGCUGACUCCGUGCUUGAAAACGCCACCAACACAGUCCACCGUGCUAACAUGGAGAACAAGGACGUGAUUUAGCAACUCUAAGAAAUAUUGAAAGACACCGUUUCUGAAACUCCCUUGCGAGCGGAAACCUGGUGUCAAUCACAUCUGGAAUUGACCUAUUGCUACAAACACAUUGGGAACUACAGAAAUGCAUGUGCAAGCUGGGAGAUCUCUCUAGGCCUGGUCAGUCCACUCCUAGUGCAGAAGAACCAUGAGCUGAUAAACACCUAUGCAGAAAGGCCAAGACAGAGAAAAAAUGACAGCCUGCUCUUCAUAUACAUCAAAAGAGACUGAGUAUAUACAGAGUAUAUAUACAUUAUAUAUAUACAGAAUAUACAGAGAAUAAAUAAAGAAUAUAUAUAGGUUCAGUGAGUUCAAGUCACAGAAUAAGGUCGCCACAGCCCUGAGUUCUUCCUGGAGCUGGACCAUUUGUCUUUGUAUGCUGGCAUUUGUCUCCUCGAGGCGCUUAAUUUCUUCUUCUUGGAUUAGCAAUUGUUGAUCGGCAAAAUCUUUCUUUAUGACCAAUUCAUUAAACCCAUCUAAUUUUU
ensembl:antisense 1700094J05Rik RIKEN cDNA 1700094J05 gene